UACAGAGGGGGCAAGCGUUGUUCGGAAUUACUGGGCGUAAAGGGCGCGUAGGCGGCCUUCUAAGUCGAACGUGAAAUCCCUGGGCUCAACCCAGGAACUGCGUCCGAUACUGAAAGGCUUGAAUCCGGUAGAGGGAUGCGGAAUUCCAGGUGUAGCGGUGAAAUGCGUAGAUAUCUGGAGGAACACCGGUGGCGAAGGCGGCAUCCUGGACCGGUAUUGACGCUGAGGCGCGAAAGCCAGGGGAGCAAACGGG
rnacentral:rRNA from 1 species